GGAUUUCUGUGUCAUUCUUCCUCCUCUACCCCCUCCCACCCUUGCCUGCUUUUCGCCCUCCCACUCUCUCUCCCCUCUCGCUCUCUCUUUCUCUCUCUCUCUCUUUCCCUCUCGGCCUCCAUCUCCCUUCCUUCAUUCUCUCUCCCUCCCUCUCAAGUGCAAAUACAGUUCCUUGCCGUGUUGGACGUGUGAUCAAGAAGUGUCUGGCUCUCGCGCUCCGCCGCACCUCCUAUUUCAUCAUCACUUGAGCUUUUCUCUCCUUCACUCUGCGCUUGCUAUCUCCUCUCCUCUAUCCUCGCUCCUCUUCUCUCUCCUCCUCUCCUCUCUCCUCCUCUCCUCUCUUCUCUCGCUCGCUCCCCUUCUCUCAGCUCCAGCUGCAUGCAAGGGAGAGACUCAGGCUCUGUGGGGAAGAAAAAAGAAAAAGAAAAGAAGUCUGCUGAUAUUCCUCCAGUCAGGGCCUCCCCACAGCCCGCCCUUCCACAGAGGGACAUUUUUUACUACUAGCUGGAUUUUAACCCUCUGCCUCCAACUAUCUGCACAGGGGCUCUGCAAAAACCUGGCAACAAGAUGCUUUUUUGGGGCCUUUUCGUAGUUUUGCGUGCCGAUUUUUGCGGCAAUUUGUAUCUUGGUGUUAUUUCUCCUAUUUGGUGUUAAUUUUUAUCUGCAUUGUUACCCAGAGUUGUGUAUUUUUAUGUGAAAGCGUUUCUGUUGGUGUUUCUUUUAAAUAUGAUAUUAUUUUUGUCGUUGUUUCGUCGUUUUUGUCUCCCGCCACGUGAUGGGCCUUCUUCCUCCUGGAGAUGUGUGCGUACGGGCACCAUUCCAUUUCUGCUGGGUUAAGCCCUCUUCUUCACGCUCUUCCUCCUAGUGACUGUCUGUGGGUGACAAGCAGGGGAACGUGUUCAGUCUCUGAGCGUGUUGCACAUCUGCGUGUUAAAGACAUGCUCUUCGUGAGCGCCAGAAACUCUCUCACCUAGAAGUACUGCACCUCCCUCUUCUUCCUUGCUUUCACUGUGUCUUUCCCUCUCGCACCCUCUCUUUCCCUCCCUUGUUCUCUCUCUCCCUCGCUUUUAAAUGCUGUGUUGGGCUGGAGCUAUUUCUGGGACAGGUGCCUCCCCCCCAAAAAAUGACAGAAUAAUGCUGAUUAUUAUUUUUUAUUUUUUUCAGCGAAAACAUAAGAAGUGACCGUGGUUUUGUGCCACCGAUGCAUGAUUGAGCACGCCAGGCCUGGGCCCAGCCCAUGGCGACCAGGCGAGGUAGCAGCGGCCGUGGGCUGGGGCUCUGGGCUGGGUCUUGGCUGGGCUACGAGAGGGCCUGCCUGCCUGGCUGCUUUACCAGAGCUGCCAGGGACACAGAGGAUGAUGGCUUCCUGUUCUCCUCAACAGAUACUGUAUGUGGAUCCCGCAGGAGAAAAAGAGAGGAAGAGAGAACCUGCUUAGAAUUUCACCUCCGGAUUCGGAAUGUUUCGGAAUGUUUCGGAAUCGCCUCUACUGUGGAAUAUCUGUAGGCCUCGACCGAUGGCACAGGACUUUUGGCCAAGCAGAGAACCCCAUGGUCAGACAGAUGGCCCUAGCAACAGAGCUACCUGACAAGCUGCUGUGAGCAUGAUGGAGGGAGGAGGCAGAGGAAGG
rnacentral:lncRNA from 1 species